GACAGAGGGUGCAAACGUUGUUCGGAAUUACUGGGCGUAAAGCGCGUGUAGGCUGCUCUGCAAGUCGGAUGUGAAAGCCCUGGGCUCAACCUAGGAAGUGCACUCGAAACUGCAGAGCUUGAGUCUCGGAGAGGAUCGCGGAAUUCUCGGUGUAGAGGUGAAAUUCGUAGAUAUCGAGAGGAACACCGGUGGCGAAGGCGGCCUUCUGGACAGUGACUGACGCUGAGACGCGAAAGCGUGGGGAGCAAACAGG
rnacentral:rRNA from 1 species